UUGAAAAAUUCUGAAUUCGGUCCUUAUUAUAAAGUGAUAAAUUAUUAAUAAAUAUCAUUAAACAAUAUGAGCUUAAAAUUAUUGUGGAAUUGCGCCAGGAUAAUCUUGUUAUCAGGAUUAUCUUUUGGAAUUUAAAAUAUAUACUCCAAAUUUCAGUGGACUAUAAUUGGGAGUAUAAAGAAUUCGCUUGGGCAGGUAACAGUGGCCGCAUGAUUUGCGUGUCCUUACUGAGUCUCGUGAGUGCAACGGCGUUAAUCAUUUGCAUACCCUACUGCACUCAGAAAAUCUUACAUCGCAAGUGUACCUGCCCUCCUGUGCCCAUCUGCCCUGACUGCGGAAUACCCUACUGAAUAUUGUUACAAAUUCUUAACUUUAGUCAUCUAAAAUUGAAUCUGUGAGUUGAUUGUUAUUUUGUGAAGGUCUAAUUUCACCUCGAUCACAUUUCUUUUAUUGAACAUUCGAUUAAUUAUUUAAAUGGACCGCUAUUAUCAAUUUUAGUGAGUGUAUUUUAUUUGUUGGUAAAGAUGAUUUGUAUGACAGCUGCGACGGCAGUGGCCGCUAUGGGUCUGAUAGCUUGCGGUCCUUUGGUUUGUGAGAAAUUAUUGCGAUGCUUCUUGAAAUCAACCAAACGAUAGUUGUACCUUUUUCUACGUUUGUAAUAUUAUCAUAAAUAAAUAAAUAAAUAUGUAUUUCACUUAA